UGUAUAUCAAAUGGAAGGCCUGGAGACCUGGUAAGAACAUGCUCAACAAGCAUUUGAAUUGUUUGACAAGGAGGGCAACCGACCAAUUGUGAUUGAAGAACUUGCAUCGGAACUUGGACUUGGCCCUUCGAUCUCACUUCAUGUUGUUCUCAAAGAUUGGAUCAGACAUUCAGAUGGACACCCAGGAAGUUGAGUUGCCCCCUUGACCAGGAGGAAGCUGCUAGGAAGCAGGAAGAGUUGCAAGCACAACUACAAGCUCAACAGGCCGCACUUGAAGAAAACCAAAGUUUGUUGCGCCAGACCCAAGAGGAAGUGAAGGGGAUGCAUACCAAGUUUGAAGAGACCAAUGCACUGCUACGAGCUGUCCUGAAACUUCAGAAAGAUUGAGGUAGGGAUGCAUACCAAGUCUGAGGAUGAUGCCUUUGCUUAAGGUUUUUCUACCUUGCUAGAACAUAUCUGUGGUUAGAACUUUGUCAGAACUACGUGCAAUCUGUUUGAAUGCUU